CCAAGCCACUACAGAGACAACACUGGAUCCUUAACCCACUGUGGCACAGUGGGAACUCCUGUAUUUUUCUUUUUUGAAUGAGAAAAACGAUGCUCAUGAAAUUCAGGUUAUUAGCUCAAAAUUAGCCAGUCACUAUCAGAGUUGAAUUUGAACUUAGUUCAAUGUGUCUCUAAAGAAGGGGAUCCUUCUCUUGCAUAAUACUACCUGCUGAGAGUGGGUACAAGACUCCUUAAGGGUUUUGUUAAAAUGCACAUUCCAUCUCCUCUUCCCAUGCAUCCUUCCACUCCCAGAUUUUAAUAUUCUGUGUUACUGUGACAGUAAAACGAGGGUUGAUUGGAGUUUUGCAUAACUUCUUGCAGGAAUUUCUGAUAUAUGACACAAUUAUUUUCCUUAAUGACACCUUUCUAACCCUCACCAUCUUUACCACAGAACCACUGCUCUAGAACCUGAAAAUGUUAAAGGUGAAGUUAGUUUCUCAGUGAAUGCUCUGAUCAAAUAAUUAUAAAUAUAUAAAAUAGUCCUUAAUGUCCUUUCAUGAUAAAGCAAGAGUAAGACUUUAUUCUAAUAUGUAAAGGAAUUUCAAGUUUUCAAUUAUCAUCUUAACCUAAUAGAUAUGAUUGAUACCUUAAAUGAAAUAGGAAAAAUGUGGCAUAUUCAUUUCAAAGGUUCAAGUGAAAAUUUAUUUUUCACGUAAAAUUUUUUACAUUUUCAACACUUUAAAUAUCAAUUUUUGUCUUGAAAUGUCAUUUAACACCUUUUUGAAAACAACUAAAAAUCAAAGCAACAGAAAAAUGGAAAACUAAACAAGUGUAAUGAGAAAAAUCAAAAAAGAUAUUGGUUAUCUCAGAAUCUAAAGAAUCUGUCUGGAGUUCCCGUCGUGGCGCAGUGGUUAACGAAUCCGACUAGGAACCAUGAGGUUGCGGGUUCGAUCCCCGCCCUUGCUCAGUGGGUUAAGGAUCCGGCGUUGCUGUGAGCUGUGGUGUAGGUUGCAGACGCGGCUCAAAUCCCGCGUUGCUGUGGCUCUGGCGUGGGCUGGUGGCCACAGCUCCGAUUAGACCCCUAGCCUGGGAACCUCCAUAUGCCACACAAUUACAGAGAGCUUUGAAGGUCAAGCAGAGAAAAUUCUUGUGUUUAAUCAUUCCUUCACUCCGCAAAGAUCUAUGGAGGCCUAGCACAUGGGCCAGGGAAAGUAAGAAAGAGAAAAGACAGAAAGCUCUGGAGAAUUCUGUUCACAGACCUGCAGCAAUCACUGUUCAGUGUCACGUCUACAUGCCCUCAGCAACAACACACCAAUGGAAUCCUAGUCUAAACAUGUGCAAGGCUCUACCUAGGGCUCUGCCUGCACAUGGAUCAGGCUGGAAUGCCAGAAAUUCAGUGCUAGGAGUAGUCAUCAGCCAAUGAAGAAUGGGAGUUGGAGGAUAAAUCUUGAAAUGUAUUCGUUUCUUGGUUAGAAAAACUCUGAAGCAAAUUCUACAUCAUCUCCUAGAGGCCCCCCAGUAGGAGUGAAGUCCAAGUACCCACUUCCAUUACCUGAUCAUCAAAGAAUGCUGCAUGCACUUUCUCCCCUUUCCUACCUCAGUUUCAUACUCCCCCACUGAUGUUUCCUGGGAUAAUCUCCCAAAUAAGUCACUUGCACUCAAGUCCUUUGGAAGCCUCCUUUGGGGGAGCCCAAUACAACAGUGGUGCACACCAGCUCCAGUUGCACCUCGCUGUGU
rnacentral:lncRNA from 1 species